CGUCAGCUCGUGUCGUGAGAUGUUGGGUUAAGUCCCGCAACCGAGCGCAACCCUACGUUUAGUUGCUAACGCGUGAAGGCGAGCACUCUAGACGAACUGCCGUUGACAAAACGGAGGAAGGUGGGAUGACGUCAAAUCAUCAUGCCCCUUAUGUUCUGGGCUACACACGUGCUACAAUGGCCGGUACAGACGGACGCAAAGCCGCGAGGUGGAGCAAAUCCUAAAAAGCCGGUCUCAGUUCGGAUUGCAGGCUGCAAUUCGCCUGCAUGAAGUCGGAAUCGCUAGUAAUCGCAGGUCAGCAUACUGCGGUGAAUACGUUCCCGGGCCUU
rnacentral:rRNA from 1 species